rnacentral:rRNA from 1 species
GGGUUUAAAACGUCGUGAGACAGUUUGGUCCCUAUCUGCCGUGGGCGUUGGAAGUUUGAAGGGGGCUGCUCCUAGUACGAGAGGACCGGAGUGGACGAACCUCUGGUGUACCGGUUGUGACGCCAGUUUUGCAGC